UGCUAAGACUGGAUAGGAGACAAGAAGGCAUCUUCUUGUUUUUAAAAGACCUAGCAAUAGGUAUGCUUAGGGAGGAGCUUGCGUCACAUUAGUUAGUUGGUGGGGUAAAGGCCUACCAAGACUAUGAUGUGUAGCCGGGCUGAGAGGUUGAACGGCCACAUUGGGACUGAGACACGGCCCAAACUCCUACGGGAGGCGGCAGUAGGGAAUUUUCGGCAAUGGAGGAAACUCUGACCGAGCAACGCCGCGUGAACGAUGAAGUAUUACGGUACGUAAAGUUCUUUUAUUAGGGAAGAAUAAAUGAUGGAAAAAUCAUUCUGACGGUACCUAAUGAAUAAGCCCCGGCUAACUAUGUGCCAGCAGCCGCGGUAAUACAUAGGGGGCAAGCGUUAUCCGGAAUUAUUGGGCGUAAAGGGUGCGUGGGCGGUUAAAUAAGUUUAUGGUCUAAGUGCAAUGCUCAACAUUGUGAUGCUAUAAAAACUGUUUAGCUAGAGUAAGAUAGAGGCAAGUGGAAUUCCAUGUGUAGUGGUAAAAUGCGUAAAUAUAUGGAGGAACACCAGUAGCGAAGGCGGCUUGCUGGGUCUUCACUGACGCUGAGGCACGAAAGCGUGGGGAGCAAACAGGAUUAGAUACCCUGGUAGUCCACGCCGUAAACGAUGAGUACUAAACGUUGGGUAAAACCAGUGUUGAAGUUAACACAUUAAGUACUCCGCCUGAGUAGUACGUACGCAAGUAUGAAACUUAAAGGAAUUGACGGGACUCCGCACAAGCGGUGGAUCAUGUUGUUUAAUUCGAAGGUACCCGAAAAACCUUACCAGGUCUUGACAUGCUUCUGCAAAGCUGUAGAAACACAGUGGAGGUUAUCAGUUGCACAGGUGGUGCAUGGUUGUCGUCAGCUCGUGUCGUGAGGUGUUGGGUUAAGUCCCGCAACGAGCGCAGCCCUUAUUGUUAGUUACCAGCACGUAAUGGUGGGGACUUUAGCAAGACUGCCAGUGAUAAAUUGGAGGAAGGUGGGGACGACGUCAAAUCAUCAUGCCCCUUAUGACCUGGGCUACAAACGUGAUACAAUGGCUGUUACAAAGGGUAGCUGAAGCGCAAGUUUUUGGCGAAUCUCAAAAAAACAGUCUCAGUUCGGAUUGAAGUCUGCAACUCGACUUCAUGAAGUUGGAAUCGCUAGUAAUCGCGAAUCAGCAUGUCGCGGUGAAUACGUUCUCGGGGUUUGUACACACCGCCCGU
rnacentral:rRNA from 1 species